AAGAUUUUAAGUUAAAUAAACUAUUAACCUUCAAAGCUAAAAUUAUAAGAAAUUCUUUUAAGUCUUA
rnacentral:tRNA from 1 species